CUCCUGGUGGUGCCCUUCCGUC
rnacentral:siRNA from 1 species